rnacentral:rRNA from 1 species
CACUUCUAAGGAAGGCAGCAGGCGCGCAAAUUACCCAAUCCUGACUCAGGGAGGUAGUGACAAGAAAUAACAAUAAACCGGCUUAUGCCGGUUUAAUUGGAAUGAGUACAAUUUAAACAUCUUAACGAGGAACAAUUGGAGGGCAAGUCUGGUGCCAGCAGCCGCGGUAAUUCCAGCUCCAAUAGCGUAUACUAAAGUUGUUGCAGUUAAAAAGCUCGUAGUUGGAUUUCUGUGGGGACGGAGCGGCCGGCCGCACAUCGCGGUUCGAGCUAGCGCUUUCCCUACAUCCUGCCGCGAACCGUGCUACCAUUAGUUUGGUGGUGCCGGGGAUCGGCUCGAUUACUUUGAGAAAAAUAGAGUGUUCAAAGCAGGCCACACGCCUUGAAUAAGUUAGCAUGGAAUAAUAACUAAGGACUUCGGUUCUAUUUUGUUGGUGUUCGGGACUGAAGUAAUGAUUGAUAGGGACAGUUGGGGCGGUCUGUAUUCCAAAGCGAGAGGUGAAAUUCUUAGACCUUCGGAAGACAAACAGCUGCGAAAGCGUUCCGCAAGGAUGCUCCCUUUGAUCAAGAACGAAAGUUGGGGGAUCGAAGACGAUCAGAUACCGUCGUAGUCUCAACUAUAAACUAUACCAGCUAGGGAUCGGCCAACGUUAUUCUAUACCGACUUGGUCGGCACCUUAUGAGAAAUCAAAGCAUCUGGGUUCCGGGGGGAGUAUGGUCGCAAGGCUGAAACUUAAAGGAAUUGACGGAAGGGCACCACCAGCCGUGGAGCCUGUGGCUUAAUUUGACUCAACACGGGAAAACUUACCAGGUCCAGACAUAGUAAGGAUUGACAGAUUGAUAGCUCUUUCUUGAUUCUGUGGGUGGUGGUGCAUGGCCGUUCUUAGUUGGUGGAGUGAUUUGUCUGGUUAAUUCCGUUAACGAACGAGACCCCAGCCUGCUAAAUAGCGCGUGUGAGCUUUGCUCGCAGCGAGCUUCUUAGAGGGACUAUGAUGCGCGAUAGCACAUGGAAGUUUGGGGCAAUAACAGGUCUGUGAUGCCCUUAGAUGUUCUGGGCCGCACACGGGCUACACUGGCGCCUGCAACGAGCAUAUCAGCUGGCCCGAGAGGGUCUUGGCUAAUCUUUUGAACCGGCGCCGUGCUUGGGAUUGACCUUUGCAAUUGUUGGUCAUGCAACGAGGAAUGCCUUGUAAACGCGAGUCAUCAGCUCGCAUUGAAUACGUCCCUGCCCUUUGUACACACCGCCCGUCGCUCCUACCGAUGAAUGUUCCGAUGAAAUUUUCGGAGAGCACCUGUGGACUUGGCUCUGCCUUGCGAACGGGAGGCUCAAAGUCACUUAAAUCUGAACAUUUCGAGG